rnacentral:lncRNA from 1 species
CUACAUCAGCAGAGUGGACAUAAAGCCAAAAAAGCUACAUGUGAAUUUGAAGAAGGUCAAGGUGGUCAUAUGAUAUGUUUUAUCCUGGAACUAUCAAAAAGACAAACAUAUUGAGACAGAUUCGCUUCAUCACACUUGCAGAAGGUUCUAAACUCGGGGUUCUCCAGGACAUUCAAACAGGAACUACUAGAAGGUGGAAAUUGGCCUGAACAACAGUCACAAAGAGCAUUCAGAAGUUCCCAAUGAAAUGGUUAUAUGUGACAAGGGUAGCCAAGGUGUCAUUACUUCUGUCACACUCCUCAUCUUGAGUCUGUUGAUUCAGAUGAAAGAAAAAAAAAAAAAAGCUCUGCUCAUAGUGUGUUUUUGCAACAGAGGGAUGAUGCACAUUAAAAAGAACCAGAUCUGCAUGCACUACAAGUCAGGAUGCAGGCAUUAUGGCAGACCUUGACUGGGGUGCAAGUCAGAAGCCAGUGACCAAUAUCACAACUGCUACUGUGGGGCCUUGGACAUGGGAACUUAAAGAUGCCACAGUGCCACAGUGUAAGAAGUGAUCUUGUAAGCUUACAUGUAAUGCCUUAGAAAGCUAGUGCUGGGAGACAGGUAUUUUACAUUCAUUUUCUCUGUUGGCAGUUCUGGAUUAGAACAUCUUAAAUAUCUCCCAUCCCUGUGGGUAUAUACAGCACAUCGAUGCCUUUAGGGACUAAACAUAAUUUAUAAGAAAUACUUUGAUUCUGAACUUGAACUUAUGGCAUAUAUUAAUGAAAGAGCUGGCACACAUACCCACAUCCUAAAGACAUGAAUACGUCCAGGCGGUAUUAAAUGCUAUAAGACCAUGCUUAUGUCUGAAAGUAAAGAAUGAAAAAGGAGCAUUUUAAAGGUUGCAGACUGGUGUUUCUCCUAUGCCACCAAAUCAUUUUCAAAGUAGAGGAAGAACCUGAAACAAAGUACCAUGAAUUCAAAAUUUAAAAUGGAACUGCAAUGAAACCUGUAUCUGACCCAAGGCAAGUGAGCCUCAGAAUGAGAAGGCCAAGUGUGUGGGUCAUCACUCUGAGCCACCUCUGGAUAAGGCCUCAGGAUCGGGGACUCUGGUGCUUGACUUACCAUGCUCUAUGGGGAGAACUGAGAACCACCCUCACCCAGUACCUUGGAAGUGGAUUUCCUGGCUCCUCCCAGUGCAAAGGAAACUAUAUCAUCCCGUUCUUCUGAGCACUGCCAAUUAUCUGACUCUAAAAAUAGAACUGGCAUAGGAGUAUCA